rnacentral:rRNA from 1 species
UACGUAGGCAGCGGGCGUUGUUCGGAGUUACUGGGAGUAAAGGGGGUGUAGGCGGUUGUUUAAGGUUGGUGUGAAAUCUCCCGGCUCAACUGGGAGGGUGCGCCGAAUACUGAAUGACUUGGAGUGCGGGAGAGGAGAGUGGAAUUCCUGGUGUAGCGGUGAAAUGCGUAGAUAUCAGGAGGAACACCGGUGGUGUAGACGGCUCUCUGGACCGUAACUGACGCUGAGACACGAAAGCGUGGGUAGCAAACAGG